UGGCUCUUUUACCUGUUUCAGUUCGUCUUCCUCAUCCUUGAUUUUUUAUGGAAGGACGACGGCCUUUGCAUUUCGCGAUUCUUGGAGGAGAAAAAAAUGUCUACCUCGACCCGCAACGAAGCAGAAAAAGCAGUUCAAGCUCAGGUUCCAACUUGGAACCACUGGAUAACCUUUUGAAGAUAACUGGUGAACUCUACUCCCUCGCAAGAGAAUGCUUUUUAUAAUUGAAGAAGCAUCUACAUUAACUAUGUAACGUUUCUUGCCGACCCACCUGUCUCUGCCUCUUCCGUCGUCGUCUUUGAAGCCAACGUCAACACUUCUAUGGAGUCAAUGGUUGAACCUUUCCUGCCCAAAUCCAUAGGUUUUCAAAAAUUUCCAUGAGUGAAGGUCUUUCCACCACAAGCAAUAGUUGUCUAUUUAUGAUUAGCGAUUGGGAACAGGACUUCAGCCAUCGGAGUUGUAUCUAUGCCAUUUCGUAAUCUUAACUUUCAUACGAAUAAAUAAUUUUAAAGAA